ACGGUUAUUAUUCAUCAUCUGAUCAACAUUACAACAGUUUAAAUCUCUUACAGAGUAAUAUAGCUAAUGUAUUACAAACAGAUACAACAGAUUUGAUUAUUUCCACACACACAACAGCUCAACAAACUCCGCUAAUGUAAAAUGCCAUCUGAGAAACUUCCUUCUUCCUAUAGCCUUGGCCGAGGAUUCACUCUCUCCUGAACCAGGGGUUAAUUGGAACGCUGUUUUUCAG
rnacentral:misc_RNA from 1 species